rnacentral:rRNA from 1 species
AGUGAACGCUGGCGGCGUGCCUAACACAUGCAAGUCGAACGAUGAUGGAUGAGCUUGCUCAUCCUGAUUAGUGGCGCACGGGUGAGUAUACCAUAGAUAAUGUACCCCUUAGUUCGGGAUAGCCACUGGAAACGGUGAUUAAUACCGGAUACUCCUUCUUGCCAUAAGGUAAGUCGGGAAAGUUUUUUCGCUUAGGGAUCAGUCUAUGUCCUAUCAGGUAGUUGGUGAGGUAACGGCUCACCAAGCCUAUGACGGGUAUCUGGUUUGAGAGGAUGAUCAGACACACUGGAACUGAGACACGGUCCAGACUCCUACGGGAGGCAGCAGUGAGGAAUAUUGCACAAUGGAGGAAACUCUGAUGCAGCAACGCCGCGUGGAGGAUGACGCAUUUCGGUGUGUAAACUCCUUUUAAGAGGGAAGAUUAUGACGGUACCUCUUGAAUAAGCACCGGCUAACUCCGUGCCAGCCGCCGCUGUAACAC